GAUGAACGCUGGCGGCGUGCCUAAUACAUGCAAGUCGAGCGAACAGACGAGAAGCUUGCUCCUCUGAUGUUAGCGGCGGACGGGUGAGUAACACGUGGAUAACCUACCUAUAAGACUGGGAUAACUUCGGGAAACCGGAGCUAAUACCGGAUGAUAUUUUGAACCGCAUGGUUCAAUAGUGAAAGACGGUCUUGCUGUCACUUAUAGAUGGAUCCGCGCUGCAUUAGCUAGUUGGUAAGGUAACGGCUUACCAAGGCAACGAUGCAUAGCCGACCUGAGAGGGUGAUCGGCCACACUGGAACUGAGACACGGUCCAGACUCCUACGGGAGGCAGCAGUAGGGAAUCUUCCGCAAGGGGCGAAAGCCUGACGGAGCAACGCCGCGUGAGUGAUGAAGGUCUUCGGAUCGUAAAACUCUGUUAUUAGGGAAGAACAUAUGUGUAAGUAACUGUGCACAUCUUGACGGUACCUAAUCAGAAAGCCACGGCUAACUACGUG
rnacentral:rRNA from 1 species